GAUGAACGCUGGCGGCGUGCCUAAUACAUGCAAGUCGAGCGAACAGACGAGGAGCUUGCUCCUCUGACGUUAGCGGCGGACGGGUGAGUAACACGUGGAUAACCUACCUAUAAGACUGGGAUAACCUCGGGAAACCGGCGCUUAUACCGGAUAAUAUAUUGAACCGCAUGGUUCAAUAGUGAAAGACGGUUUUGCUGUCACUUAUAGAUGGAUCCGCGCCGCAUUAGCUAGUUGGUAAGGUAACGGCUUACCAAGGCAACGAUGCGUAGCCGACCUGAGAGGGUGAUCGGCCACACUGGAACUGAGACACGGUCCAGACGCCUACGGGAGGCAGCAGUAGGGAACCUUACGCAAUGGGCGAAAGCCUGACGGAGCAACGCCGCGUGAGUGAUGAAGGUCUUCGGAUCGUAAAACUCUGUUAUUAGGGAAGAACAAAUGUGUAAGUAACUAUGCACGUCUUGACGGUACCUAAUCAGAAAGCCACGGCUAACUACGUG
rnacentral:rRNA from 1 species